ACAAGAUGAAAGAAGUGGUAAUACCCUGUAAAAUUUUCUGUGCACUGGAAAGCCCAGCCCCCUGGGUGUCAAUCAAAUCCUCCUAACAUGUAGGAUGCGGAAGUCAAGAGGAGGACGAUUGUAGUUACCUCGUUCCAUUUUUGUUUUAAUGUUUACUGUUUGCUCUUCUGUUAGGACCGUGCUUUUUCUGUAUGUAUUCGUGUAGAGGUUCUUGGCCAGGUACAGUAACACGAGAGUGUACCAAGCAGGCUUUUCUGAAGGUUUAUAAGGCUGUGGCUGCUUGCAGAAAAUUAUCCUAGAAUGCAUAGCUUCUGGUACAUCUUGGUAUUUGUGUCUGGAUUCCUCAAGUGCCACUGCAAUAAUGCAACAAGCGGCUCCGAGGUUAGAUUGCUUCUCGUGUCCUUUGAUGGAUUCAGGGCUGACUAUCUUGAGCGAUACAACUUUCCAAACCUGAAGAAAAUGAUUGAUGAUGGGGCACAUGUGAAGCAUCUAACAAAUGUGUUUGUUACUAAAACUUUCCCAAAUCACUAUUCCAUCGUCACAGGCCGCUAUGCAGAAAGCCAUGGUAUUGUGGCCAAUUCAAUGUAUGAUGCAGCCACCAGAAAGAAUUUUUCAGUCUUCGCAGACCAAGAUCCAUUUUGGUGGAAUGAGGCUACACCAAUUUGGGUAACUAAUCAGCAACAAGGGCACAAGAGUGGAGGAGUAAUGUGGCCUGGUACUGAUGUGUCCAUACAAAAUACAACCCCUUCCUACUACUUGAAUUAUGACCACAAUGUCACAUUCAAUAAGCGAGUUGACCACAUUAUAAAAUGGUUUACCAACUCAACAGAACCCAUUAAUUUUGGUGCAUUGUACUGGGAAGAGCCUGAUUCCACUGGACACCAUUAUGGACCCGAAAGUCAACAGCUAGUCAAUAUGUUGAAAGAAGUGGAUGAUCACAUUGGCUAUUUAAUUGAGCAACUUCAAAAGACUGGACUUUGGAACACAAUUAAUGUAAUUCUCACCAGUGACCAUGGAAUGGCUCAAUGUUCUAAAGACAGAGUUAUAGAAUUGGAUAAAUGUAUUGGACGUGAUAACUAUACAGAGGUGACUCACUCUCCAGUAACAGCUAUAUUGCCCCAUAACAACAUAAGUUAUGUGUACAAAUUGUUGUUGAACUGUGACAGUCACAUGAAGGUAUAUUUAAAAGAAGAUAUUCCAGACCGUUUUCACUACAAAUACAAUGAAAGGAUUCAGCCAAUUCUUCUUGUUGCUGAUGAAGGGUGGACAAUUGUUCAGAAUGGAUCAAUCACCAGGAUGGGUGAUCAUGGUUACGAUAAUGCUUUACCCAGCAUGCAUCCUCUUCUGGUAGCUCAUGGACCAGCAUUUCGAAAGUCUUACAAAACUAACACCAUUAACAGUGUUGAUAUCUACCCGUUAAUGUGCCACAUCCUGGGAUUGAAGGAGGAGGCUAACAAUGGAACCUUUGCAAAUUAGAUGAUAUGAUGAAAUGCAGAUAAAACAACCUGGUUUUCCGUCUCUAACUAUAUCCAAAGCAUGCUCCAACCCAAGAGAAGAACAUAGGUCAUUCCCAAGUUUACCUCCAGAUCUCAAGCCCUCAUGGGAUUUCUAUGGAUAAUUCAAAUGGAUACAAUAUGAAAAAGAGAACAAGCAUUUCAAAGGUGUCUGAAAAAUUGCAUCACUCCAGUUGUUCUUCACCAGGAUUUUUGCUGUUUCUCCCUCUCUUUCUGUUUGGCAUUACUUACAGUUCAUUUGUUUUUAUAUAGCUCUCAUGUUCUUUAUUCCAUUUUUUUCCCUUCCAACUCUUAGACAUUACAGUUAUCUCUCUCCAGACGAAAAAUAAGUAGAUGCUCCUGUUGCAUUUUUGGUGUCUACAUCAUUUUAUUUCUAGGCUACUACUUGUUUUUCAGUCAAAUAAAUUAAUAAUAGAAUACUGCCUUUGAAAUAACCUUUUGCAUAAUAGAUUGCAACUGAAGUGCCUGGGAUAUGUGAUCUGGUAGUAACCAGAGACAAAAUGACGCAUCCCACAACUUGAUUAAGAGGAAGACAUGUAGAAGAUUGUUUUGAUGAAGUGUGUCUUAUUACCAUUUCAGAUGGUGGAAUUUGAUUUAAAAAGUCUGGACCUAAUGUCAUCUUAUAAGAGUCAGUGUCAUAUUUUGGUAAUAUUCCUGUGAAAUACCUUGGGAUAUUUAAUUACAUUGAAGGCACUACAUAAAUUUAUUUACUCUGACUGGAGGUCUUCAUUUUGAAGGUGGAAAGGGAGAUAGAGCUGAACUUCACAAAUGUGGUCCUCCAGAAACAAUGAAAAAAUAAAGAAAAUCAAUGUCAAUAAUCUGGUCUCAAGGAUCUAGAUACAGUGCUAAAAAAGUUCAACAAUUUCGCCUAAGUGGGCAAGGUGAGAAACUAUUUCUUCAAAUAGUAUUUCCUCACAAAACCACCAAUCUCUCACAUUUCACCAGUUACACCAGAACAAUUGUUCACCAGUCAGCAAUCUCUAGCAAUCAAUAAUUCUGUCUAACAUUCAUUCAAUCCAAUUCAUCACACACAUUUACCACUGCUGCAAGUCUUAUAUCUGCUUCUUGAAGAUUCUUUUUGCUUCCAGUUAUUCCACCAUGACAGGUACAUUAUGAAAAUGCAUUGCAACACAUUCACUGGCACUCUUCCCUACCUUGUGCAAUACAAGAUUGUUAAUAACACUUAGGAAAAUAAAUAGAGGUCAAGCAUAUUUCAAUAUCCCCACUCUCUCGUAGGAGAUGGAGCUUGACUAUUAAUGAGGCUAUGUUGAAGCCAUGGCAUCUGGUGUUGAUGAUUGAUGGAGUUGUCCAGUAUGACCUGAAUGUACAUACCAUCCUUUACACACUGUCAGAAAUAACACUUCACCUUCGUGAUGCAAUCUUGGAUAACAUGCAAGCUGCAGAUUAUAUCGCAAUAUACCUCUAGCUUUAUGUGCACUUCCUCUUCACUCAUCCUAACCCUCCCCUUGUGAAAAACUACUUUCAGAGAUUGAAAUACUUUCACCUGGCCAGUCAGCAUUGCCUAAAGCUAAAGACCAAGAGGAGGGGCACUUCAAAGCAACAAUACUGUCACUUGAUCUGACACACAGUCGGGUACUGUUGAAGGACCCUUAAUAAUUUGCAGUAGUGUCUCUUACAGUUUGUACACUCUGUUGUCACUAUGGGUCAAGUGAGUGAAUGUUGAGGCUAUUAGAUGGAUUCCCAGUCAAAUGGGCUACUUUAUUCUGGAUAUUUGUAGAUGAUUGACAUGCUCUGGGGAGUCAGAAUAUGUUUUGACAGAAUUUCCAGUUCUUAAAUUACCAGUAUUUAUAUGGUUCACUCAAUUGAAGUUCUGAUGAAUGGUGACCUCCCCUGGAUGUGGUGAGAGAUUCCAUGCUGGGAAAGCCAAAGAAUGUCUAAGGAAGAUGAUUAGGUUCUUUCUUCUUGGAGACGAUCAUUUCCUGGCACUUUGAUGAUGCAGCAAAUAGCCUAAACGUUUAGAAAGCAAUUGCCAUUGGAUGAAAUGGCUCUUUUUGCAACUAAAUUGAUUCAAAGUGUCCGUUUGCUUUAACUUGUAAAAGUUCCAAGAACAUCAGAUGAUUGAUAUGACUGUUACAUCGCACAAACACAAAAAACAGGUAGGCACUAGUCAUGAGCUUUUGAAGAGACCAUUGGGCCACAUUACGUUGAUGUCAAGUUAAGAGAUUCAUUAAUUGUAUUGGAAGUGGUGAAUUCAUAAUUGCUCAGCUUGUAGAACUAUGGAAAAUAAUCUCCAUAUGGCCAGUGGUAUAUGCUUGUAAUUUUUGCCCAGGUGAAGGAUAGGAUAACCAAAUGCUGCUGACGUUUUUGGACCUAAAAGCUGUAAUUCUACAGCAUCUUUGCUAUACCCAAGAGAAGAAAACAUCUUUUAGUCUUUGUGCUUCCUCCUGCUCAGAUCUUUUAACCUUGGAGUAGCACUGGAGUGGAUUCCUAUCUUUCUACAAUCAUCGAAUGUCCUUAUAAGAAGGAAAUCUUGUUGCCCUCAUCUGGCCUACAUGUGACUCCAAAUCCACAAAUGUGGUUGACGCUUAACUGCUCUCUGAGUGAUUUGGAUGGGCAAUAAAUUCCGGCCUAGACAGCGCACCCACAUCCUGUGAAUAAAUAAAAAAUGCUCGACAUCUUUCGUAGUCUCCUUACUUUUCUCUUGUCCACCCAUAAUUCUUUCAAGAAUUCGGAAAUAAAUAGGAUUGCAGAAAGAAAAUUAAC